GCUGGGUGUGGUGGCACACACCUGUAAUCCCAGCUACUUAGGAGGCUGAGGCAUGAGAAUUGCUUGAGCCUGGGAGGCAGAGGUUGCAGUGAGCUGAGAUGAUGCCACUGCAUUCCAGCCUGGGCUAUAGAGUGAGACUGUGUCUCAA
ensembl:misc_RNA Metazoa_SRP Metazoan signal recognition particle RNA